rnacentral:rRNA from 1 species
UAGCCGGCCUGAGAGGGUGAACGGCCACAUUGGGACUGAGACACGGCCCAAACUCCUACGGGAGGCAGCAGUGGGGAAUAUUGCACAAUGGGGGAAACCCUGAUGCAGCGACGCCGCGUGAAGGAAGAAGUAUUUCGGUAUGUAAACUUCUAUCAGCAGGGAAGAAAAUGACGGUACCUGACUAAGAAGCCCCGGCUAACUACGUGCCAGCAGCCGCGGUAAU